UAGGGAAUCUUCGGCAAUGGGGGCAACCCUGACCGAGCAACGCCGCGUGAGUGAAGAAGGUUUUCGGAUCGUAAAGCUCUGUUGUAAGUCAAGAACGGGUGUGAGAGUGGAAAGUUCACACUGUGACGGUAGCUUACCAGAAAGGGACGGCUAACUACGUGCCAGCAGCCGCGGUAAUACGUAGGUCCCGAGCGUUGUCCGGAUUUAUUGGGCGUAAAGCGAGCGCAGGCGGUUUGAUAAGUCUGAAGUUAAAGGCUGUGGCUCAACCAUAGUUCGCUUUGGAAACUGUCAAACUUGAGUGCAGAAGGGGAGAGUGGAAUUCCAUGUGUAGCGGUGAAAUGCGUAGAUAUAUGGAGGAACACCGGUGGCGAAAAGCGGCUCUCUGGUCUGUAACUGACGCUGAGGCUCGAAAAGCGUGGGGAGCGAAACAGGAUUAGAUACCCUGGUAGUCCACGCCGUAAAACGAUGAGUGCUAGGUGUUGGAUCCUUUCCGGGAUUCAGUGCCGCAGCUAACGCAUUAAGCACUCCGCCUGGGGAGUACGACCGCAAGGU
rnacentral:rRNA from 1 species